rnacentral:rRNA from 1 species
CUGGCGGUAGGCUUAACACAUGCAAGUCGGACGGAAACGACAAGAACAAUCACUUCGGUGUGCGUUCUUGGGCGUCGAGUGGCGGACGGGUGAGUAAUGCCUGGGAAUCUACCCUAAUGUUGGGGACAACAUAUGGAAACGUAUGCUAAUACCGAAUAUGAUCUACGGAUUAAAGGUGCCCUCUCCUUGGAAGGUAUCGCAUUAGGAUGAGCCCAGGUGAGAUUAGCUAGUUGGUGAGGUAAUGGCUCACCAAGGCAACGAUCUCUAGCUGGUUUGAGAGGAUGAUCAGCCACACUGGGACUGAGACACGGCCCAGACUCCUACGGGAGGCAGCAGUGGGGAAUAUUGCACAAUGAGCGAAAGCUUGAUGCAGCCAUACCGCGUGUGUGAAGAAGGCCCGAGGGUUGUAAAGCACUUUCAAUUGUGAGGAAGGUAGUGUAGUUAAUACCUGCAUUGCUUGACGUUAACUUUAGAAGAAGCACCGGCUAACUCUGUGCCAGCAGCCGCGGUAAUACAGAGGGUGCAAGCGUUAUUCGGAAUUACUGGGCGUAAAGCGCGCGUAGGCGGAAUAUUAAGUCAGUUGUGAAAGCCCUGGGCUCAACCUGGGAACUGCUUCUGAUACUGGUAUUCUAGAGUUUAGUAGAGGGAAGGGGAAUUCCUAGUGUAGCAGUGAAAUGCGUAGAUAUUAGGAGGAACAUCAGUGGCGAAGGCGCCUUCCUGGACUAAAACUGACGCUGAGGUGCGAAAGCGUGGGUAGCGAACGGGAUUAGAUACCCCGGUAGUCCACGCCGUAAACGAUGUCAACUAGUUGUUGGCCUUAUUAAAAAGGUUAGUAACGAAGCUAACGCGAUAAGUUGACCGCCUGGGGAGUACGG